rnacentral:lncRNA from 13 species
CCAGACUCGAGUCUCCCAACCAGAGUCCUCCGGUUAAGAAACCAUAUAAUAGCAUUCUGGGUACAAAAUACGCACACAAUUGGACCAGAAAGCCAUAAUCCCCCCCAGUCACAUUCUCUUAAAGAUCUCCUUGCCUUCCCUCCCCCUGCUCUGAAACAGGGAGAGGCUUAGAAUCCAGGGGCGUCGGGUAAGACUCCUCUCUCAAACCCGCUCAGGGCCCUGCCCUCCCUCCACUUCCCCUCCGGGGUGGCUACCUCAGGCUCGCUCCCAAACCGGCUGUCUGGCUUGAGGGGACACCUGCGCUUGGCCUCAAGGGAGAGAUGUGGGGAGAGAUCCAGUGCCUACCACCCUUGGCAGAAGACCAGUAGAAGCUAGGCGGGGAGGGCAACAGCGGCGGGGGGCAGGGAACAGCAGCGGCGGGGUACGACGGCCGUUAGCGUUAGGACCGUUAGCGCUCCGCCUUCUCCUGGCAACCCCCGCACGGGCUCCGCUGCCAGGUCUCCGGGGGCGCGCCGGGUGUGACGUCACAGAGCCGCCCCGCCCCCUCAGCAGAGGCGCGUUCCCAGGGUCGUCACGGAGCCGCCCCGCCCCCUCAGCAGAGGCGCGUUCCCAGGGUCGUCACGGAGCCGCCCCGCCCCCUCAGCAGAGGCGCAUUCUCAGGGUCGCGCUAGGGCGCUGCUGGGGAAGCGGAAAGCUGCUCUGGGCUUUGCUGGUGGUGGAAGGACCAGAUGGCCUGGAGGAUGAGGGAACUGAGCGCAGAGAGGUUAAACUUGUCCAAGAUGACAGUCAGCAAGUGAUAGAGUCAGGAUUUGAACCUGGGUUGCGUGAUCCCAGAUUCCUCACUCUUGAUGAUCUUCAGUGUGCCAUUUCAUAG